UACAGAGGUGGCAAGCGUUGUUCGGAUUCACUGGGCGUAAAGGGUGCGUAGGUGGCUAGGAAAGUCUGAUGUGAAAUCUUCGAGCUCAACUCGGAAAUGGCAUUGGAAACUAUUUAGCUGGAGGGUCGGAGGGGGGACUGGAAUUCUCGGUGUAGCAGUGAAAUGCGUAGAUAUCGAGAGGAACACCAGUGGCGAAGGCGAGUCCCUGGACGACUCCUGACACUGAAGCACGAAAGCUAGGGGAGCAAACAGG
rnacentral:rRNA from 1 species